rnacentral:rRNA from 1 species
UACAGAGACCUCAAGCGUUAUCCGGAAUUAUUGGGCGUAAAGGGCGCGUAGGCGGCCUGGCAAGUGGAAGGUGAAAUCCCUCGGCUUAACCGAGGAACUGCCCUCCAAACUGCUUGGCUUGAGUCCGGGAGAGGUGAGUGGAAUUCCCAGUGUAGCGGUGAAAUGCGUAGAUAUUGGGAGGAACACCAGUGGCGAAGGCGGCUCACUGGACCGGAACUGACGCUGAGGCGCGAAAGCGUGGGGAGCAAACGGG